UUUUGCCUUUGUAAGUGAACUCUGGAGUAACUACUUGUGUUUGUGGGCAGUGCAGUUGCAGAGAGAGAAGGCAGUCAGCUGCCUGGACACAGAGUCCUAUCCCUCCUUUGCACCAGCAGCUAUUCCAGACACACCAAGCCGUGGACCCUCUGACAGCACUCUUUGCUAUUGUAUCUGUCAGGGAAGUGUUCCUAACAGACGUGGCCUUGGCAGCAAUCCUUGCUUACCAACAUGCCCUUGUGAGAGACUCUCCUUUAGGAAGUAUGCUCCAUGGUUCAGUUACUCACAAGAAGACUGAUGGCUGGAAGAAAACCAACAAAAGCCCAAGCAGGCUAGCAGGAGGUUGGCUGACAAGCCUGUAAAGGGAAGGAGGAGGCUGAAGUCCCACCACCAUAUGGCAGAGGAGAAAUGGAGACAUCAGCAUCUCGCCGCAAAAUACAUCUUCUCUUAUCUUCUGACAUCACCUGAUUAAACCCUUUACUGCAGGAGAAGGGAGCCGCACGCUCCCCGCUGAAGAAGAGGAAAUGCGCCAGGCUCCAUUUUAAUUGGAUAAUUGGAGAAAGAAAGUUAGUAGCAUUGGUGAGCAAUGUCACAUGAACCUAAUUGCCAAAUUCCUGGGUUUGCUUACACGGGUUUGUUUUCUUUUCAUUUUGCUG
ensembl:lncRNA